AGAAUCAACGCUGGCGGCGUGCCUAACACAUGCAAGUCGAACGAGAAAGUGGAGCAAUCCAUUAGUAAAGUGGCGCACGGGUGAGUAACACGUGACUAACCUACCCUUGAGUGGGGGAUAACCUAGAGAAAUCUGGGCUAAUACCGCAUAAUACCUUCGGGUCAAAGGAGCAAUUCGCUUAAGGAGGGGGUCGCGGCCGAUUAGUUAGUUGGCGGGGUAAUGGCCCACCAAGACUAUGAUCGGUAUCCGGCCUGAGAGGGCGCACGGACACACUGGAACUGAAACACGGUCCAGACUCCUACGGGAGGCAGCAGUGGGGAAUUUUGCGCAAUGGGGGAAACCCUGACGCAGCAACGCCGCGUGGAGGAUGAAGCCCCGUUGGGGCGUAAACUCCUUUCGAUCGGACGAUAAUGACGGUACCGAGAGAAGUAAGCCCCGGCUAACUUCGUGCCAGCAGCCGC
rnacentral:rRNA from 1 species